rnacentral:rRNA from 1 species
UAGGGAAUCUUCGGCAAUGGACGAAAGUCUGACCGAGCAACGCCGCGUGAGUGAAGAAGGUUUUCGGAUCGUAAAACUCUGUUGUUAGAGAAGAACAAGGACGUUAGUAACUGAACGUCCCCUGACGGUAUCUAACCAGAAAGCCACGGCUAACUACGUGCCAGCAGCCGCGGUAAUACGUAGGUGGCAAGCGUUGUCCGGAUUUAUUGGGCGUAAAGCGAGCGCAGGCGGUUUCUUAAGUCUGAUGUGAAAGCCCCCGGCUCAACCGGGGAGGGUCAUUGGAAACUGGGAGACUUGAGUGCAGAAGAGGAGAGUGGAAUUCCAUGUGUGGCGGUGAAAUGCGUAGAUAUAUGGAGGAACACCAGUGGGGAAGGCGGCUCUCUGGUCUGUAACUGACGCUGAGGCUCGAAAGCGUGGGGAGCAAACAGG